GAUGAACGCUAGCGACAGGCUUAACACAUGCAAGUCGAGGGGCAGCGGGGCGUAGCAAUACGCUGCCGGCGACCGGCGCACGGGUGCGUAACGCGUAUGCGACCAACCUGGUGGCGGGGGAUAGCCCGGCGAAAGCCGGAUUAAUACCGCAUAAGACGCGAGAGCCGCAUGGCUUUCACGUGAAAGUAGCGAUACACCAUCAGACGGGCAUGCGUUCCAUUAGGUAGUUGGGAGGGUAACGGCCUACCAAGCCAGCGAUGGAUAGGGGUUCCGAGAGGAAGGUCCCCCACACCGGUACUGAGACACGGACCGGACUCCUACGGGAGGCAGCAGUGAGGAAUAUUGGUCAAUGGGCGUAAGCCUGAACCAGCCAAGUCGCGUGAAGGAAGAAGGAUCUAUGGUUCGUAAACUUCUUUUUGAGGGGGGUAAAGUGCAGUACGGGAUGCUGUAUUGAAAGUACCCUCAGAAUAAGCAUCGGCUAACUCCGUGCCAGCAGCCGCGGUAAUACGGAGGAUGCGAGCGUUAUCCGGAUUUAUUGGGUUUAAAGGGUGCGUAGGUGGGAGGAUAAGUCAGCGGUGAAAGUUUUGCGCUCAACGUAAAAAGCGCCGUUGAGACUGUUUUCCUUGAGUAUGGACGAGGCAGGCGGAAUGCGUGGUGUAGCGGUGAAAUGCAUAGAUAUCACGCGGAACCCCGAUUGUGAAGGCAGCUUGCCGGGCCGUUACUGACACUGAGGCACGAAAGCGUGGGGAUCAAACAGGAUUAGAUACCCUGGUAGUCCACGCCGUAAACGAUGAUUACUAAGAAUUUGCGAUAGAGUGUAAGUUCUACAGCGAAAGCGUUAAGUAAUCCACCUGGGGAGUACGCCGGCAACGGUGAAACUCAAAGGAAUUGACGGGGGCCCGCACAAGCGGAGGAACAUGUGGUUUAAUUCGAUGAUACGCGAGGAACCUUACCCGGGAAUGAACGCAGAGGGACUGUGGGUGAGAGCCCAUUUCCAGCAAUGGUCGUCUGCGAGGUGCUGCAUGGUUGUCGUCAGCUCGUGCCGUGAGGUGUCGGCUUAAGUGCCAUAACGAGCGCAACCCCUGUUGCCAAUUACCAGCGAGUAAAGUCGGGGACUUUGGCAAGACUGCCGGCGUAAGCUGCGAGGAAGGUGGGGAUGAUGUCAAAUCAGCACGGCCCUUACAUCCGGGGCGACACACGUGUUACAAUGGGGCGGACAGCGGGUUGCCAAUGUGCGAACAUGCGCUAAUCCCGAAACUGCCUCCCAGUUCGGAUCGGAGUCUGCAACUCGACUCCGUGAAGUCGGAUUCGCUAGUAAUCGCGCAUCAGCCAUGGCGCGGUGAAUACGUUCUCGGGCCUU
rnacentral:rRNA from 1 species